CAAAGUCUCUCUAGUCGGACAGUUUUUGUUCCAGGACUUCAGUGUUUGUUUUAGUUUUAGCCUAAGUUACCUAGCCAGCUACUAACAAUUUAACCCUACCAAUUUGUAAUUUUGUCUAAAAAUAACAAGUCAACUAUAUGUAUGUUGUUGUAACUAUGUUAGAAAAACAUGGCAGAAGACGAGCUUCUGGCGUUCAGAGAGCAUUGGAAGCAAGAACUGACGAUUAAAAACGAGGCGCAUUCGAACUGUAACGUUACUCUUCAACCAAGUCGGGAAGACUCUAAAUUAAAACGGUAUUUUGAAGAUUUUGGUCAGGACAGAAGUGAACCAGAAAAAAGACAGGAUUCAACAUCACAGGGGAGCAGUAAGGGAGGACAGGAUGCAUUUUUGUCUGCAGCAAAAACGCCAAAGGAGGACCAACCCGAGUAUGUGUCGAUAGCCGAGGGCUUGCUAGAUGGAAGGACCAGUCCCUUGUUGGAGAGGAUUCAGGAAGAGAGGACUCGAAGGAAGAGACAAUACUACAGUCUGACAAGCGCCUGUAACACCUCCUCCCAACAACAACCCCAGAGGAAAAUUAACAAGAGUCACAAAUUAGUGGAUCAAUUCAUUCAAGACCUGAAUGAGACAAAUGACAUUCCCUUCUUUGACAUUGAGUUGCCCUACGAGUUAGCUCUGAAGAUCUUCCAGUACCUCAGUCAGACAGAGCUGGGGCGAUGUGCUCAGGUGAGCAAGGCGUGGGGGGUCCUGGCAGAGGAUGAGGUGCUGUGGUUUAGGAUGUGUCAGACAGAGGGUUAUCACCACGGGGCCUCUGUCUCUGACUCCCCCUGCUGGAAGAGCAUGUUACGAGACUGCAAGAACUCUGAAAACACUGUGCGCUCCAACUGGAAGAAUCGUGUUGGAUCAAUCAGCCAACUGCAGUACGAGCUGGGAAAAGUGUUGUGUGAUGUCAGUUCCUGUGACAGCUAUGUUGUUGCUGGGUACACAUCAGGGGACGUGAGACUGUGGGACACCCUCCACUGGGACUCUGCAGCCUCCUUCCUAAAGCCAAGCCCCCUGACGGCAGACGUCACCCCCAGACCUCACGUCAGUCACAUCCGGGUCAACAACACUGUGGCUGUGGCUGCCUAUGACGAUGGAUGUGUGGAUGUGUGGAGCACAGAGACGGGACAGGAGCCCGUCCACCACUUCCAGAUCCCUGGGAGGGUCCACGCCCUGGCUCUGAGCCAGGAGAGCCCCACCUUGGCUACUGCUGCUGGGCUAGACGUCCGGCUGGACCAGCCUGAUGAGAGGGGCUACUGGAGGACCCUCUGCCAGGCCACGCUACCCAAACCUAGGCUCUGGUCCCAGGUGGAGUCUAUAGUUGUGGUGCCAGGGGCCGGGGGGCGAGGAGGGGACAAUGUCCCCCUGGUGGCCCUGUCUGCUGGGGAGACGGUGUACCUUCUGGCCCCUGAGGACUUGGAACCGCGGGUGCUCCACACCGUCUACGGCCACCCCAUCACCUGUCUGGAUGCCUCGGCCUCUCACGCUGCCCUGGGGGUCAAGAGCUGUGGCUGGGCCAUGAACGAUGGAGGCAACAAGAUCCAGGUGUACAGCCUAGAGACAGGCCAGUCGGAGAUGUCUGUGGGGAACUCAGCGGGAGACUUCUCCUGUGUCAACCUGAGAGACAGCCCUCCUCACAUGCUCGUCUGUGGAAACAAAGAUAGGAGGGUGAGGGUGUUUGACCUGCGCACCGGCUCCUCUGUGACAUCACUUUAUGCCCACCACAUGGGCGUGACCUCCGUGCAGGCAGACGAUUGGAAGAUUGUGAGCGGCGGAGGUGAGGGAUUGGUCUGCGUCUGGGAGAUGAGGAUGGGAGCUAAACUGUGGGAGAUGCACAACAGGCACCCAGUCAGACACUUGAGAUUCAACACUAGCACUCUGGUGACCGCCAACAUCCCAGACGAGAAGUCUCCACGAGGGGCCUGCAUCACAGAUGACGACCUCACAGCCCACCGCAGACAUAGGGGAGUGAUUUGCCACUAUGACUUCUCAGAGGACUCCACCUCCCAGGACCAUGUUCUGCCCAUCUGCAGGUCUAACUAUGUGGAGUCAUCUGGCUACAACUACAACAUUGGCCUGGCCGUGCCCUAUGACAUCCUGUCUGGCUCUCACUCCUCCCACUGACUCCUACCAUCAGCCCUUUAGACCCCUACUACUAGUACCAUCAGCCCUGCACUCCUUCCACCAGCCCUUCAGACCCCUACCACCAGCCCUUCAGACCUUUACAACCAGCCCUUCAGACCCCUACCACCAGCCCUGCAUACCCCUACCACCACCAGCCCUGUAGACACUCAGACCAACCUUGUGUGACCCUCAGGCUUGGAUGAGAGGAAUUCUUCAUCCGCAGCAUCUUCUUGACCUUGUCAGUGAUCUCCUCCAGCUGGGAGGAUAUACCAUCCAACGACACAUCUGCCAGGGGGUUACAAUACUGGUCCACCAGUACAGCUCCUACAGCAGGAGACGAGACAAUAGAAGACUGUAAAAACACAUGGUUAAACACUACAUUUCUUUAUGGCUUUGUUAUUAAUGGAUUAUCUAUGGAUUUUAAUGCAAACGGUGGUGCAAUCAUAGGACUUCAAAAACCACAAUGGAGGGAAAAACGGCCAUUGUUUUUUUUCUCUCCAAACACUCAUUAUUAUGAUUAUUAUAUGUAUGGCUAGGCCCAUGUUCAGCUGUCUGCCUUACUUAAUUUAGGCCUACACCGAAUACAAAUCAUGAGAGUAUGAUACAUAUAAAUAGGCCCACUCCACAUGUACUACAGUAAGUACACCAUAUCCAUGACUCACCCUCUAGUGCUGACUGCUGCUCUGCAGGCUGCUCCAGAAACAUCUUUAAACUCCUCAGAAUGUUUUGCUGGCGAAGGAAAUAAAGGAUUUUCUUUGCAUA